rnacentral:rRNA from 1 species
AGAGUUUGAUCAUGGCUCAGGACGAACGCUGGCGGCAUGCCUAACACAUGCAAGUCUAGGGGUAGCAAUACCACUGGCGCACGGGUGAGUAACACGUAGGUUAUCUGCCCCCAUCACAGUGACAACCUCGGGAAACCGAGGCUAAACACUGAUGAGGCCGAGAGGUCAAAGCGAAAGCGGAUGGGGAUGAGCCUGCGGCUGAUUAGCUAGUUGGUGAGGUAAUGGCUCACCAAGGCGACGAUCAGUAGCUGGUCUGAGAGGACGAACAGCCACACUGGAACUGAGACACGGUCCAGACUCCUACGGGAGGCAGCAGUGAGGAAUAUUGGUCAAUGGGCGCAAGCCUGAACCAGCAAUGCCGCGUGUGGGACGACAGGGCUUCGCCUUGUAAACCACUGUCGGAUGGGACGAAAAGGAGUAUGAACUCCUGGGACGGUACCAUCAAAGGAAGGGUCGGCUAACUACGUGCCAGCAGCCGCGGUAAUACGUAGGACCCGAGCGUUGUCCGGAUUUACUGGGUAUAAAGGGUGCGUAGGCGGUCUUGUGCGUCAGAGGUGAAAUAUCCGGGCUUAACCCGGAGGGUGCCUUUGAUACGGCAGGACUUGAGUGCGAGAGAGGAUGAUGGAAUUCCUGGUGUAGCGGUGAAAUGCGUAGAUAUCAGGAGGAACACCGGUGGCGAAGGCGGUCAUCUGGCUCGUAACUGACGCUGAGGCACGAAAGCGCGGG